AAAUAACAAUACGGGGCUUAAAGUCUUGUAAUUGGAAUGAUGGGAAUUUAAACCUCUUCCAGAGUAUCAAUUGGAGGGCAAGUCUGGUGCCAGCAGCCGCGGUAAUUCCAGCUCCAAUAGCGUAUAUUAAAAUUGUUGCAGUUAAAAAGCUCGUAGUUGAAUUUCUGCUGCAUUGCUUGUGUCCCUCUGGGGUCUGUGCAUGUGGCUUUUUUCGGACGGAGUUUCUUUGUCUGAAUGUUUACUUUGAGAAAAUUAGAGUGCUCAAAGCAGGCUUUCGCCUUGAAUAGUUUAGCAUGGAAUAAUAAAGUAGGACUUUGGUUCUAUUUUGUUGGUUUUAGGUACCAAAGUAAUGGUUAAUAGGAACAGUUGGGGGCAUUCGUAUUUAACUGUCAGAGGUGAAAUUCUUAGAUUUGUUAAAGACGAACUACUGCGAAAGCAUUUGCCAAGGAUGUUUUCAUUAAUCAAGAACGAAAGUUAGGG
rnacentral:rRNA from 1 species